rnacentral:tRNA from 1 species
GACCGCGUAGCUCAGUUGGAAGAGCAUUGGGCUAGUAUUCCAAAGGUCGUAGGUUCGAAUCGUACCGUGGUCG